rnacentral:lncRNA from 1 species
AAAUCUGAAAUUCCCCAUUUUCCACCAGCCCCAGACCUGAAAUAGUGAAAUCCUCUAGUCUCUAAUCAUUCUGCUCUUCGAUCAGAUUUAAUCUCAUUUUCGACCCUCAAUUUCUCAUCCCAUAUCUGCCUCCCUCGUACCCGUUUCUGGCCUGUUGUUUUGCGUCUCGGGCGUCUACUGCUUCUUUGAUGAGAUCGACGAGAGUCACAGCCCAACAAGACAGCGAUUGACGACACCAACAGCCACCGUAAGUCCCUAAUGACCUUCAUCAUUUCCUUUAUCAUUUUCAUGCUAAAAGCGAAGUGUUAUUGAUAUUCUACUUGCGAAUAUGUUAGAGAAAAACAACUCUGCGACUUGAAAGUGGCCUUCAGCUUGCUUUGCUGCAAUUUUGAUUGCUGCUACU